UGGGGAAUCUUGCGCAAUGGGCGAAAGCCUGACGCAGCGACGCCGCGUGAGGGAGGAAGGCCUUCGGGUUGUAAACCUCUUUUAAGAGAGAAGAAGCUACUCGGGUUAAUAGCCCAGAGGGUGACGGUAUCUCUUGAAUAAGCCCCGGCUAACUACGUGCCAGCAGCCGCGGUAAUACGUAGGGGGCAAGCGUUGUCCGGAUUUACUGGGCGUAAAGAGCGUGUAGGCGGCCAUGCAGGUCCGUUGUGAAAACUGGAGGCUCAACCUUCAGACGUCGACGGAAACCGCGUGGCUAGAGUCCGGAAGAGGAGAGUGGAAUUCCUGGUGUAGCGGUGAAAUGCGCAGAUAUCAGGAAGAACACCAAUGGCGAAGGCAGCUCUCUGGGACGGUACUGACGCUGAGACGCGAAAGCGUGGGGAGCGAACAGG
rnacentral:rRNA from 1 species